CCCAAGCCCGCACGUGCAGUCCCCACCUUGCGCGCAGCCCCAUGUACAGCCCCCCACACGCUCCCAGCCCCACUGGCGCAGAAUUCAUCACCGCUUGCCCUUCACGCGCUUCAUUGGGAGUGCAGCCCCCACCCCGAGCGCGCAGCUCCACGCAGCUUCUCCACACUCUCCCCAGCGCCUGCAGCACCCCCAGUGCGCACAGCUCUGCCAAUCGCUUCCCCGCGCGCCGCCCCUGCACCCUAUAACCUUGCUGGCGACUAAGUCUGAAGAACUUCCCGUGGUUUCAUUCUUGUCUUCGGAUUUAGUCUUAGAUCUGACAUUUUAACCAAAAGGUUACACGUUAACGAGGUAUUAAAGGGGAAGAUCUCAGCUGAAAGAAAUGACUGUAGGAAGUGUGUCAGGGAAGCCAACGGAACCGCCGGCCAGCUCGUGGUGCGCCCGGCCUUAGGAAAGUCUCUGCUCUCCUACGAUCUCUGGGAUAUCGAAUGGGGCAAAGCAAGAAAAGAGGACUCUGUGGGAGUGCAUUGGAAUUGGAGCAGAACAAGAAGUGCAAAUAAUUUGUUUAGCCUGGAAGCCCACUGUGAGAAUUUCUAAAAUGCGGUACCCUGAAAAAUGAGGAUGACUCACCGAACAGGUCAAGUGAUUUAGAAAUAAAAUUCAAUUUACACUCCUUGAUUUCUGUCUCUUUGUUCUGACAUCUGCUAUAUUGGGAGAUGACUAGGAUGAGAUGGUGGAGCCCUCAUGAAUGAGACUAGUGUCCUUAUGAAAGAGCCUGAGGAAGCUUACUUGCCCUUUCCACCAAGAAGGCACCAUUUAUGAAGCGGAGUGCAUGUCCUCACAAGAUGCUAAACCUGCCAGUACCUUGCUUUUGGACUUUCCAGCCU